AUUUCAUCAAGCGCACUGUUGUACGCAGAGACACGUUCCUCCUGAAGAAUUAACUGCAAUGCUGGAGCCGGAGAGAGAUUGGAGAUCACCAGGCGGUUGGAGGCGCAGAGAUUUCUGUGGCAGCUUGGUUAGAGGUGGCGAGAGAGGCAACAGAAAAAAGAAAACGACAUCAACUGAAACACGUAGACCCAGUUCUUCCUGGAGACUGACCAGCCUAUACCUCCCACCUGUUUCCCAGGCAUGCGUCCCCGCUCCAGACCUCAGGCUAAAAGGGGCCUGCCCACCAUCAGGGAGGGCUACGAAGAACUUGUCCAGGACAUGAACCAGGCCAACAGCCGCCACCUCCCACACCACGGCCAGGCCCAAUCGUUGUCUACCCACGACUACGUCCUGUCAAUAUGCCAGCUCGCCCGCCCGACCUUCCCCCAGUCCGAGCCCGACUGUGACAUCCUCGCCAUGGGUUCCCUGGCAUCUCUGAGGCCUUGUCUGAGGCUCCACAGACUGAGGAACCCUGCACCGCCCCAUCAGCCAUUGAAUUCCCAGGUUGGCCACCGCCCACAGCUGAAGCAGGAGAAUAGCCGCGGUGAGUGCAGUGGCCUGGAGAGAGAGGUGUGUGUCGGUUCAGGUCGGUCCUCCCCCAGAGGGGUGCCCAGUGUCUCUGAUCCCCUGGAGUACCUUUACGGUCACGGGGAGGCACUCUUCUCGACCACCCUUCACUCCCACAGCUCACAGGGCUGGAGAAAUGAGGGGAGAGGAAGCAACCGGCAUCGGCAACAACCCCAGAUACACACCGACAGCUUCCCAGGCAUGUGUUCCUUACCCCCGACCCAACGGAAAAUCAGUUGCCCUGAGCUCAGCCUCGUGGACCCCGCUGACCUAGAGAAGCCCACCUCUGACCCCGCUCAGCCGCAGACAGUCUCCUCAGAGCAGCAGAAACCUGACGCCUCCAGCUCACUCUCCUGGAGAUUCCAGAACAACUUGUACAGGGUUUCGGCAGGUGAAAGGGGGAAGUGCCCUUGCUACUUAGACAAACACACAGUGGUAUCAAGCUGGAUCGCCGAAUGUCGCACAGCCUGGAGAGAAGCCAGAAUCAGGGCCUGCAUGCUUCCUGCCAUUGCAGAGAUGUAAACACAUAGAUCUUCUGUAACAUUUCCAUGCCCCACUCGGAAUCAUUGUGCAUUGUGGAUCCUUGAUGUACGUACUACAUACUGUUUAAUUAACUGGCACAUUUGGCCAAUUGCAGGCCCAUAUGGUAACAUGUACAACUCCAGUUUUCAUUUGUGAACUUUUUGAAGAGUAUAUAGAUUAAGACCAUAGAGAUGAUCAGAGGACUUAGAGGAGCGACAGGUGGCCUAGACUUUAAAGUAUCUUACCAGUAACCAAAUUGUUGCUAGAUCCCUGAGCCUGAAAAAUGAAAUAUUGUAAUUCUGUCCCUGACAGAAGACAAGACAAUUGACACUAAUUGCUUCCUGAUUUUUUUUGCACUAAUUUUCAUUGAAGACAUCCACAAAUUUCAACUUUAUUGGCUGAUUCAUCCCGAUGACCCGAUUGGUCAUUGGCUGAUCCUUCCUAAUGACUAUAUUAACAUGACGAUGGCCUCAAUGGCUCUGCCCAUGCUGGAACAGAUGCUUUGGUGACACACAUGGGUCCUCUGUUUAUCUCGACCCUUAAGACAUAUUGUAGACUAGCGUAUGCUUCAUUCAUAUCACAGUAGGUGGAAUAUUGACAGUGCCUAUGAAAGAUAGUAUUUAGGUAGCCUCCGUGUCAUUAAACAUACGGUCAUUAGGCAAGACUGUUUUGUGAGAAUGGUCACAUAUGACCAGUAUUAAUAUAAAGUUUACAGGAAGAGGAAAGACUAAGAAAAAUAUCAGAUUAUAUUUCCUAGGGAAUUAGCGAUUACUUAAAUCUUUCUAUUUCACUCCAUUAUUGACUAAUAAUAAUUAUUAAAUACUUUUUUUGUGACAUAUGGGCAGCUAAAACAACAAAUAAAAUUCUACAGAGUUGAGAAAAAUGUGUCCUAUUGUUAGCUAGUUAGGGCUCAGCCCUCCAACUCAGAUUACUCUCAGUGGUUUUGAAAAUCUAUUUUGUGAUUUCCUCUCUUGUGUAUAAACUUGAUUAUGCAAUGAAAAUAUCUAUUUUAAUCUUCUUCACUUAUUAAAGCCAUGAUAAAAUAGAUACAGGUAAUGUAUAUUAAAUCAUGUCAAUGAAUUCCCACUGAGUGAGAUGUUAUGUAAAAAUGUUGUAUGUGACAUUUCAAUUGCAAGAUCAGAUGGUCCUCCAUGACAGUACAAUGAAGUAUGUGUCAAAAUAUAUCAACAUUGAGACAAUUGUAUCAUUGACUUGUAAAUGUUUGAGAACACAUUAAUUUGUAUAGCUUUUGUACCUCUGUCCAUUGCUUGCUCGUAACUGAAUAAAGUUUGUGUUUGACCCAUCCCACAAUUAUCAUUCAAUAUCCUCAAAGAUAAGCAACAUAAACCAGUUAUCCUACAACAUUCUCUGAUGGAGAGAUGAAACUGAAGACAUUUCUCCAGAAAAAAUAAGGCUGGCAAACCCCAGCAUCUUCAGGGAGAUUUGAAACACUAUAAAUUAG
ensembl:lncRNA